AUUGAACGCUGGCGGCAUGCCUUACACAUGCAAGUCGAACGGUAACAGGUCUUCGGAUGCUGACGAGUGGCGAACGGGUGAGUAAUACAUCGGAACGUGCCUAGUAGUGGGGGAUAACUACUCGAAAGAGUGGCUAAUACCGCAUGAGAUCUACGGAUGAAAGCAGGGGAUCGCAAGACCUUGUGCUACUAGAGCGGCCGAUGGCAGUUUAGGUAGUUGGUGGGAUAAAAGCUUACCAAGCCGACGAUCUGUAGCUGGUCUGAGAGGACGAUCAGCAAAGCUGGGACUGAGACACGGCCAAGACUCCUACGGGAGGCAGCAGUGGGGAAUUUUGGACAAUGGGCGCAAGCCUGAUCCAGCAAUGCCGCGUGCAGGAUGAAGGCCUUCGGGUUGUAAACUGCUUUUGUACGGAACGAAAAGCCCUGGGUUAAUACCCUGGGGUCAUGACGGUACCGUAAGAAUAAGCACCGGCUAACCACGUGCCAGCCGCCGCAGUAAUAC
rnacentral:rRNA from 1 species